rnacentral:lncRNA from 1 species
GAUCACCCAAAGGUUACUCGACCAUUUUGUUUGUUUUUUUUUUUUUUUAAUGGGUUUCUACAUUCUCUCCCCCUUAACAGAAUUCGUCCUCGAAUUCUAAGGUUCUGAGGGGCCUCCUUCUUCCAUCACAGCAUCCUCUCGGAAGAACUCAGGGUGAUCGGUUUUAAAUCGCUCUUCAUCUUCCCAAGUAACAUGAAUCCUGUUUUGUCUUCCCCAGAAAACUUGUACUUGAGCAAUCUCACGAUUUUUCAGCUUCCGAAUACGCCGUUCUCCUAAUCUGAUUGGUCCUUCCGGAUAUGUAAGGUUUGUCCUCAACUCCCCUAGUCUCUCGGGUUCAACAGUACUUGGAUCCCGUAUAUGUUUCCGAAGCAUGGAAACAUAAAAAUACAGGAUGUAGACGCAUAUCCUCUGGCAGAUCCAAACGGUAAGC